AUGGGGAUGAGGCCGUGCCAAAGCCAAGGGAAUUUGGGGCAGAAGCAGCGAAGGUUUGGGGCUGGGGGAGCGGCCGUGACCCUGCUGGAGCCCGGGGGCACCUCCAGCCCCCCGGGGGCUCCCUGCGCCUCCUCUGCCGAGCAUCCGGGUUCAGUUUCGGGAGCUUUGCCAUGGAAUGGAUCCGCCAGAGACCCGGGCAGGGUCUGGAGUGGCUCGCGGGGAUCAACAGCAAUGGUGGCAGCACCUACUACGCGCCCUCGGUCAAGGGCCGGUUCACGAUCUCCAGGGACAACGGGAAGAGCUCGGUGACGCUGACCAUGAACAGCCUCAAGGACGAGGAUUCUGCCACCUAUUUCUGCGCCAAAGAUGCUGCUGGUGGUGGUGCUAAUGGUGCUGCUGAUAUUGACGGCGCCGGCCAUGACCCCAUCCCCAACCACCAUCACCAUCAGCACCGUCACCGUCUGCAUCCCUGGCACAGGAACAGGACCCGGAAUCCUCCCCAGGGAGUUCCCCCAUGCUCUGGAUCCGCCAGAGACCCGGGCAGGCCCCAGAAUUCUCUGCCUGAAUCAGCAGCGCUGGCAGCCCCUGGGACACGAGCUCGGGUCAGGAUCUGCAGGGACAACGGGCAGAGCUCGGUGA